GGGGAUGUGGCUCAAUGGUAGAGCACUUGCCUAGCACAUGAAUCACUGGGUUCAAUCCUCAGCAUCACAU
rnacentral:tRNA from 1 species